GGGCGUAAGCGUGCGUAGGCGGUUUGUUAAGUCUGUUGUGAAAUCCCCGGGCUCAACCUGGGAAUGGCAAUGGAUACUGGCAAGCUAGAGUGUGAUAGAGGAUGGUGGAAUUCCCGGUGUAGCGGUGAAAUGCGUAGAGAUCGGGAGGAACAUCAGUGGCGAAGGCGGCCAUCUGGAUCAACACUGACGCUGAGGCACGAAAGCGUGGGGAGCAAACAGGAUUAGAUACCCUGGUAGUCCACGCCCUAAACGAUGCGAACUGGAUGUUGGUCUCAACUCGGAGAUCAGUGUCGAAGCUAACGCGUUAAGUUCGCCGCCUGGGGAGUACGGUCGCAAGACUGAAACUCAAAGGAAUUGACGGGGGCCCGCACAAGCGGUGGAGUAUGUGGUUUAAUUCGAUGCAACGCGAAGAACCUUACCUGGCCUUGACAUGUCUGGAAUCCUGCAGAGAUGCGGGAGUGCCUUCGGGAAUCAGAACACAGGUGCUGCAUGGCUGUCGUCAGCUCGUGUCGUGAGAUGUUGGGUUAAGUCCCGCAACGAGCGCAACCCUUGUCCUUAGUUGCCAGCACGUAAUGGUGGGAACUCUAAGGAGACUGCCGGUGACAAACCGGAGGAAGGUGGGGGAUGACGUCAAGUCAUCAUGGCCCUUUACGGCCAGGGCUACACACGUACUACAAUGGUCGGUACAGAGGGUUGCAAUACCCGCGAGGUGGAGCCAAUCCCAGAAAGCCGAUCCCAGUCCGGGAUCGAAGUCUGCAACUCGACUUCGUGAAGUCGGAUCGCUAGUAAUCGCAGAUCAGCUAUGCUGCGGUGAAUACGUUCCCGGGCUUGCACUCACCGCCCGUC
rnacentral:rRNA from 1 species